rnacentral:sRNA from 1 species
ACUAGAAAGACAAUGUCUUUUGCAUAACAAUUUAAUCCAUCCAUUCAUUUACUGGUGAAUAUUCAUAUUCUGGAGGUAGAAAUUUCAGUAUUUACACAUUGGUGGAAAUAGGAAAUGUAGAUGAGCCCCAGGAUAGUGACAACCUCUGGUGGGACGCCUUUGCCACUGAAUUUUUUGAAGAUGACGCCACAUUAACCCUUUCAUUUUGUUUGGAAGAUGGACCAAAGCGAUACACUAUCGGCAGGACCCUCAUCCCCCGUUACUUUAGCACUGUGUUUGAAGGAGGGGUGACCGACCUGUAUUACAUUCUCAAACACUCGAAAGAGUCAUACCACAACUCAUCCAUCACGGUGGACUGCGACCAGUGUACCAUGGUCACCCAGCACGGGAAGCCCAUGUUUACCAAGGUAUGUACAGAAGGCAGACUGAUCUUGGAGUUCACCUUUGAUGAUCUCAUGAGAAUAAAAACAUGGCACUUUACCAUUAGACAAUACCGAGAGUUAGUCCCGAGAAGCAUCCUAGCCAUGCAU